rnacentral:rRNA from 1 species
CGACGCCAUGAGCUACAGCUCGUAGUUGACUUCUGGCCGCGUACAGGUUUGGCUUCAGUCGACUUGUUAUGCAGUCAUCCGUCUGCAACUUAGUCGGCCUUUACUGGUUCGACUAGGAAAGCAGACAAUUUACCUUGAAAAAAUUAGAGUGUUUCAGGCAGGUAACCGCCGGAAUACAUUAGCAUGGAAAAAUGGAAUAGGACUUAGCUCCAUUGUUGGAGUAGGAACUUAGUAAUGAUUUACAUGAACAGUUGGGUGCAGAGGAAGUAAUUGCCGAAGGAGAAUGCUGGGAUUGCAAAUGGAUAAUUCAUGUAAAAGCUUCA